UACGUAGGGGGCAAGCGUUGUCCGGAAUCAUUGGGCGUAAAGCGCGCGUAGGCGGCCCGGUAAGUCCGCUCUGAAAGCCCAGGGCUCAACCCUGGAAUUGCCUUCGAUACUGGAUAUCUUGAGUUCGGGAGAGGUGAGUGGAAUGCCGAGUGUAGAGGUGAAAUUCGUAGAUAUUCGGCGGAACACCAGUGGCGAAGGCGACUCAGGCCCGAUACUGACGCUGAGGCGCGAAAGCGUGGGGAGCAAACAGG
rnacentral:rRNA from 1 species